GGUACAGGGGUGUACCUGUGUGUCUGGACCAGCAGCGGUGUGGGAAUUCCCUACAAGCUAAGCUAGACCCACCUGUUGGAGCUGCAGUGAUGGUCCAGGUCCGGGUUUCAGCCAGCCAUACGCCUCUUCCAUCCCCAGGACCCCAGAAAGAGAUGGACACCUACACUGAGUGCCCCAGUUCUAGAACCCCUGCUUCCUGUGGCUCCUCACCUGCUGGUCUCAGGCACCCAGCCCACAGGCUCCUGCAGCCCUGUCUUCUGCCUCAGGGAUAAAAGGAAGAGAUGAGAUCCAAGGCAUAAGUUUGGCCCCAUGAACAUCUGCUGUGGGAUGUGCAGGCGCAUUCUCAGACCACACCGGCAUACACCACAGGUAUAACCCCAGUUGUCAGUGAGGCAGACAGCAGGAGCUUUCCCAUAGAAAUCCUAGCUGACCCUCAGCCUGGAUUCCUGCUGCAUCCGCUGUAGGCACAGCUGGGCUGAGCACUUGCUCUGAGCCCUGGAAAGAGGAGCCCACAGAAACGAAGCUUUGAGGUAUGCAACUGUAUCACUCAGCAGACAGCAAAGUCAUUGUGAUUGUAAAAGAUUGUAAAGGACAGAAUUUGACAGGAUGAUGAGCUUAUUCUUUUUUUUUUUUUUUGGUACCAGGGAUCAAAUUUAGGACCUUGCACUUGGGAGGCAGGUGGAGACACCACUGAGCUAAAUCCCAGGCCCAAUGAGCUUAUUCUUGGUUCUGCAUUGUCACCCAGAGGUGUUGGGAGGGGUAACCAUGAUAUCCUGGAGACUUUAGAAGCCUCGGUGAAUCUCCAGCCUGAUAAGCUGGGGACAUGGCCUUGUGAGAGCCCUGAGAGGUCACUGGCCAUCCUCCAUGGACAGAGAUUUUUGGGGUGAACAGUCUUUUCUUUUCGCAGGAGGACUGCCAUAGUGACAUUUUGGCCAGCAAGUGGUGGCCUCUUCACCCCAGUGCAGCCUGGCAUUUCCUGGCUGAACAACGUGAGCAAAGCUUUGAGUUCCACUGUGCCCUCCUGAUACCCAGGCUUGCCUCCCAGCUGCCGAGAGCUGUACACACUUCUGUUGCGGCUCCAACUCUCCCAGCCAGCUGGAUGGUGUCAUCAGCAUUACAAGGUGCCAGCCUGCAUGUCACUCAUCUUGGAGCCCUAAGCAAGCCCUGAGUCACCUAUUUCUGUAGGAAUGGCCACACAAGGCUGUGGAUCCUGGGGCAUGCCCCACUUUCCAGCAAAGACAACCCAGGUGGUGGCUCAGGAUGAAGUUGUCUGUUCCAGAAUGUCCCCAUGGACUGUCCCCUGUGGUUUCCAUGAACAACCCUGGGGCUCCACACCCAGGCUAAGAUCAAGGAAAGACCAACUGCAUGAUGAGACAGUGCAUAGACAGAACAGGGCCUCCAGUACAUGUCCACCCGGAACCAAGUUAACAUGAGGUGGCACUAGGUCAGGCUGUCUCCAAACCAAUGACUUAGGUCUUUGUAAGGAAAAUGUAGGGAGAUUUGAGAUGCAGAUACAGAGGAGG
ensembl:lncRNA